AUACGUAGGUGGCGAGCGUUGUCCGGAAUUAUUGGGCGUAAAGCGCGCGUAGGCGGGAUAGUCAGUCUGUUGUAAAAGUGCGGGGCUCAACCCCGUAAGGUCAAUGGAAACUGCUAUUCUUGAGUGCAGGAGAGGAAAGUGGAAUUCCCAGUGUAGCGGUGAAAUGCGUAGAUAUUGGGAGGAACACCAGUGGCGAAGGCGACUUUCUGGACUGUGUCUGACGCUGAGGCGCGAAAGCCAGGGGAGCGAACGGGAUUAGAUCCCCCGGUAGUCCUGGCCGUAAACGAUGGGUACUAGGUGUGGGAGGUAUCGACCCCUUCCGUGCCGGAGUUAACGCAAUAAGUACCCCGCCUGGGGAGUACGGUCGCAAGACUGA
rnacentral:rRNA from 1 species